rnacentral:rRNA from 1 species
UACGGAGGGUGCGAGCGUUGUCCGGAAUCACUGGGCGUAAAGGGCGCGUAGGCGGCAUGCCAAGCGUGUGGUGAAAGCCCGGGGCUCAACCCCGGGUCGGCCGUGCGGACUGGCGUGCUCGAGCACUGUAGGGGCGGGUGGAAUUCCGGGUGUAGCGGUGGAAUGCGUAGAGAUCCGGAAGAACACCGGUGGCGAAGGCGGCCCGCUGGGCAGGAAGGCUCGCAAGAGCCGGCUGACGCUGAGGCGCGAAAGCGUGGGGAGCAAACAGG